ensembl:misc_RNA Metazoa_SRP Metazoan signal recognition particle RNA
GCUGGGCGUGGUGGUGGGCGCCUGUAAUCCCAGCUACUUGGGAGGCUGAGGCAGGAGAAUCGCUUGAACCCAGGAGGCAGAGGUUGCAGUGAGCCAACAUUGUGCCACUACACUCCAGCCUGGGUGACAGAGCCAGACUCUGUCUCAA